rnacentral:rRNA from 1 species
UUGAAAGGGAAACGAUUGAAGUCAGUCAUACCAACGGGAAAUCAACCUCUUGAGUUUGGUCUUGUGGGUUUCGAAGAGUUUAAAAACCUUCGGAUUUUGCGAGGAUUGGGCUCUUCUGGUGUACUUUCUCGUACGGUUAGUCAACAUCGGUUUUGAAUGUCAUAAAAUGACUGGAGGAAUGUGGCUUCGAUCUCGUAUUGAAGUGUUAUAACCUUUGGUAGAUGUGACGUUCGAGACCGAGGAUUGCAACGGAUACCCUUCUGGGCUAUUCGUCUGAUCUCUGAUACGUUGCCUUGACGUUGAAAGCUUGCUUAUGAUGUUAGGGUAUUACGGUCAAAAGGUUAGAACGGAUUAAAUUCGUUAAGGAUGUUGACGUA